GGAAGAGUGGUGUAGUGGUGAGUGUUGGAAUGUGACUCUGGAGACCAGGGUUCGAUUCCCAGCUUGGCCA
rnacentral:tRNA from 1 species